UACAGAGGUCUCAAGCGUUGUUCGGAUUCAUUGGGCGUAAAGGGUGCGUAGGCGGCGCGGUAAGUCGGGUGUGAAAUCUCGGAGCUUAACUCCGAAACUGCAUUCGAUACUGCCGUGCUUGAGGACUGGAGAGGAGACUGGAAUUUACGGUGUAGCGGUGAAAUGCGUAGAUAUCGUAAGGAAGACCAGUGGCGAAGGCGGCUCACUGGGUCUCUUCUGACGCUGAGGCACGAAAGCUAGGGGAGCGAACGGG
rnacentral:rRNA from 1 species